UCCCAGGUGACUCAGGGUUAAAGAAUCUGCCUACUAAGCAGGAGGUGCAGGUUCCAUUCCUGAGUUGGGAA
rnacentral:tRNA from 1 species